AACGAACGCUGGCGGCAGGCUUAACACAUGCAAGUCGAGCGCCCCGCAAGGGGAGCGGCAGACGGGUGAGUAACGCGGGGGAAUCUACCCAUCUCUACGGAAUAACGCAUGGAAACGUGUGCUAAUACAGUAUACGUCCUUCGGGAGAAGGAUUUAUCGGAGAGGGAUGAGCCCGCGUUGGAUUAGCGAGUUGGUGGGGUAAAGGCCUACCAAGGCGACGAUCCAUAGCUGGUCCGAGAGGAUGAUCAGCCACACUGGGGAAGGGACACGGCCCAGACUCCUAAGGGAGGGAGCAGGGGGGAAUAUUGGACAAUGGGCGCAAGCCUGAUCCCGCCAUGUCGUGAGAGUGAUGAAGGCCGGAGGGUUGUAAAGCUCUUUCAACGGGGAAGAUAAUGACGGUAACCGGAGAAGAAGCCCCGGCUAACUUCGUGCCAGCCGCCGCCGUAACAC
rnacentral:rRNA from 1 species